UACCCGCAGUACAAGUGGUGUCCACGAUUAUUGGGCUUAAAGCGCUCGUAGCUGGCUGAUGCCGUCCCAUGUGAAAUAUUGGCGCUCAACGUCAAUGCGGGCAUGGGAUACCCAUCAGCUUGGGAGCGGGUGAGGUCAGGGGUACUUAUGGGGGAGGGGUAAAAUCCUGUAAUCCUAUAAGGACCAACGGUGGCGAAGGCGCCUGACCAGAACGCAUCCGACAGUGAGGAGCGAAGGCUAGGAGAACGAAUCGGAUCAGAUACCCGAGUAGCCCUAGCAGUAAAUUAUGCAGACUCUGGUGUUGCCGAUGUCUUGAAUAUCGGCAGUACCGUAGCGAAAGUGUUAAGUCUGCCGCCUGGGGAGUACGGCCGCAAGGUUGAAACUUAAAGCAAUAGGCGGGGGAGCACACAAGGGGUGGAUGCUGCGGUUUAAUUGAACCCAACGUCGGAAAUCUUACCGGGAGCGACGGCAGUGUGAAGGCCAGACUGAAGAUCUUGCCUGACGAGCCGAGAGGUAGUGCAUGGCGACCGUCAGCUCGUGGUGUGAACUGUCCGGUUAAGUCCGGGAACGAGCGAGACCCUCAUUGACAGUUGCCACUGUUUCAGUGAUGAAGCAAGCACUCUGUCGAGACCGCCUCUGUUUAAAGAGGAGGAAGGAGAGGGCGACGAUACGUCAGUAUGCUCUGAAUCUUCCGGGCUACACGCGGCAUACAAAGGUUGGCACAAUGGGAUGCAACUCCGAAAGGAGGAGCCAAUCCCCUAAAACCAUCCUUAGUUCGGAUUGUGGGCUGCAACUCGCCCACAUGAAGUUGGAAUCGCUAGUAAUCGCCAGUCAGCUAUAUGGCGGUGAAUCCGUUCCCGGGCCU
rnacentral:rRNA from 1 species